AUCAGUGGAUGGAUUGUGUGGGUUGUUGUAGGUACCAAGUAUGUAGCUGGAAGUAUUUUCAUUGAGAGAUGUGGAUGUGUGUCUUGGUGCAAGGGGACUACAAAUUCUUCAAGAUUUGGAGGUGGGAGUGGAAGUAGCAAAACUACUGAAUUUGAUGAGAGGGGCAGGUAUCCUUACUUAAGAACUGGGAGAUAUUGUGAUACAAGAGAAUAUUUUGCCCUAUCAUUGAACCAGAACCAAACUACUUCUAUUUAUGGUCUGCACUCUAUCAGCUUCAUCGUGUUAUGUUUGUUGGAUUCGUAG
rnacentral:lncRNA from 1 species